GAGUUUGAUCAUGGCUCAGAUUGAACGCUGGCGGCAUGCCUUACACAUGCAAGUCGAACGGCAGCACGGGAGCUUGCUCCUGGUGGCGAGUGGCGAACGGGUGAGUAAUGCAUCGGAACGUAUCCUGGAGUGGGGGAUAGCGUAGCGAAAGUUACGCUAAUACCGCAUAUUCUGUGAGCAGGAAAGCGGGGAACCUUCGGGCCUCGCGCUCUUGGAGCGGCCGAGUC
rnacentral:rRNA from 1 species